GCGGUUUAAUUGGACUCAACGCCGGACAUCUCACCAGCCCCGACAUCAGUAAUGAUAGUCAUGUUGACGACAUCCGCUCGAGCUGAUGAGAGGAGGUGCAUGGCCGCCGUCAGCUCGUACCGUGAGGCAUCCUGUUAAGUCAGGCAACGAGCGAGAUCCACGUCCCUAAUUGCCAGCACCAUCGCACGAUGGGUGGGUACAUUAGGGAGACUGCCAGUGCUAAACUGGAGGAAGGAAUGGGCAACGGUAGGUCAGUAUGCCCCGAAUGGGCUGGGCAACACGCGGGCUACAAUGGUCAGGACAACGGGUUCCAACACUGAAAAGUGACGGUAAUCUCGCAAACCUGGUCAUAGUUCGGAUUGUGGACUGAAACUCGUCCACAUGAAGCUGGAUUCGGUAGUAAUCGCGUUUCAGAAGAGCGCGGUGAAUACGUCCCUGCUCCUUGCACACACCGCCCGUCAAAGCACCCGAGUGAGGUCCGGAUGAGGCCACAUUACUGUGGUCGAAUCUGGGCUUCGCAAGGGGGCUUAAGUCGUAACAAGGUAGCCG
rnacentral:rRNA from 1 species